CCUGUAUAACCUCACCUUACUUUAUACUUAAUACUAUCUUAUGAAAUGGCGACCAUACAAAGUUGUCUAGGAAGGUGAAGUCAGCGUGUGUGGUGUAGGUGAUGCUCUCCCAGCAAUGGAACUGUCGCGAGGCUGGAUAGCAAUGAGCAGUUUGGACUCACCCUGUACUAGAGCAGCAGUAUGGGUGUGUGGAGGGGAGCCGACGUCAGGGUUAUCUGAGCCCGGAGGUCCAGAGUCCGGGACUACAUCCAGGGACGCUAACUGUCGUCCGCCAGCCUGGAGCUCCUCCAGCAUGUCCAGCCCUCCAUUCCUGCUAACAUUGCAACAUAAUGUAUAAUCCCAAAACAACGAGUGAGACGUAAUGGCGAUGGGCUGGAACUAACAACCAUGGCUGCAUUCACAAAA